rnacentral:rRNA from 1 species
UCCGGUGUCGAUGCGGUGAGGGGCAACACCCGUUCCCAUCCCGAACACGAUGGUUAAGACCUGACCGGCUGAAAAUACUGCAUUGGUAACGAUGCGGGAAGAUAAGUGGAUGCCGGAC